CCACUCCCGUCCACGCUUCCUAAAGAUGUUUAUUGAAUCCCGGUGGGGGGAAAACCCGACGUUUUAGGCUUUUGGAAAAGACUUCACCUCAUCUUGCAUGCAUGUGAAUUGUUUUCUCAGGAAAUGACAGUUACGGUCUACAUUUGGUGCGAGGCUAGACCCUGAGAAAUUGACGCGUAAAGGAUUGAAUAAGUUCUGAGGGUGAUUCAGGUUUCCAUGCAUCUCUCUUUCCAGGUCAUGUAGCAUUUUUCCCGCCCCCAGUUUUACUUAGGCAUUUAAUAUCCCAGAGGCCGCUUUUGGCAUGGGGUUUGCGCGCGCCGCGGUGGGGACACGACACAAGCCAAAAAUUAUUCGCCCGACAUCUUGCCAAAUCUUGUUAGUGAGAAUUAACCACCGAGCGGGGGAAUUACAGGACUCGCUCGCGGCCCCGGUAGCAGCGGGGUCGGGCCUUCCAUUCUGGGUCUCCCCUGGAAGCACGACCCAAGCAGCGACGGCCGCCGCGGGGUCCUUCCCGCCCCAAACUCGGCCUUCCGCUCCGCCUUUGUUACUAGCAGAGCGGUUCCCUGGAGCUCUCAUCUCCGGGCCCCCAGGACCCCUCCUCCACUCCCCAGCCGGGCCUCGGGAGGGGGCCCCCCGGCUUCCGAGGCCUACCACCCGCGCUCCCCUCCUACUGCGCCGCGAAUCCCCUGAUACCCGGGCUCAGGUCAAGUAGGGGAUCUUCCUUUUACCUCGGAUUACAAAAUGGCUCAGCACGGCACUGCACUGAUCCGGUUUCUACUUAGCAUUUAAUAAUUUGUUCAUAUAAAUUUUUUGCAAUUAAUUUUGUUUUAAAAAGCACUGCAUUUUUGAUCACUUUUCGGUGCCUCCGAAAUUUUAAUGCCCAAGGCACGCUGCUGCUAAUCGGAGCCCUGGAGGGGGCCACAACUGCGCACCGACCGAGGCCUCGGGGAGGCAGGCCCUUGGGCGCCAGGCACUCCGGGUGGGGAGGUCAGCAGCCAAAGGCUCACUGCGUGACCUCUCCGUUGGGGAGGGGUUUGUACUUCCUCCUGAGGGCAAAGGGGGCCUGUGUCCGGUUUCUCAUUUGCUGAGCGGCAGCAAGGCUCUGUCUAAACACUCGCUCUCACUGGUACACCAGGACUGUGCGCCCUUUCCAAGAAGCCGCCCAAGUCCCGGAGGUCCGGGGCGGCCCAGGAACCCGGCUUUGCCCGGCCCGCUGACUGAGCACUCUCCUGGCCUCAGGAAACGCCGACACUUUUAUAAGGGCUUGGACGAGAUUUCUCUUGGAGGCGCCUCUCAGUCGGAGGCAGGUCUGGGCUAAUGUCACACGUGUCGCAGGAGCUGGGGAGCGGUCCCUGGGCCACACUGGCCGCGCUCAGCUAGCCUUUGUUUCCCCUGCCCGACCCCCGCCCAGCGCUCACGUGGCCGUGGUUUUGCCUGCUAAAAAUAGAUGAGCGAUUGGUCUGAAGCUACAAGAGAGCCAAGAUGAUGCAAAAACUCUGUAGAAAAUCUAUGCCUUGGACAGUGAGCUGACCUUAGAUGCCAGGACAACAAAAUAUCAAAAUCACCUUUCU